rnacentral:lncRNA from 1 species
GGCAACCCACUCGGGUUCCUUUCCAUGCUGUGGAAGCUUUGUUCUUUUGCUAUUCACAGUAAAUCUUGCUGCUACUCACUCUUUGGGUCCGCACUACUUUUAUGAGCUGUGACACUCACUGCGAAGGUCUGAGGCUUCACUCCUGAAGUCAGCAAGACCAGGAACCCACCAGGAGAAACAAACGACUCUGGACGCGCCACCUUUAAGAGCUGUAACACUCACUGCUAAGGUCUGCAGCUUCACUCCUGAAGUCAAGUGAGACCCCAAACCCAACGGAAGGAAGAAACUCCAGACACAUCUGAACAUCUGAAGGAAAAAACUCUGGACACACCAUCUUUAAGAACUGUAACACUCACUGUGAAGGUCUGAGGCUUCACUCCUGAAGUCAGCAAGGCCACGAACCCACCAGGAGGAACAAACGACUCUAGACACACCACCUUUAAGAGCUGUAACACUCACUGCCAAGGUCCCCGGCUUCAUUCUUGAAGUCAGUGAGACCAAGAACCCACUGGAAGGAACCAAUUCUGGACACACUAGUUCCCAGAUCCUGUUUCUCUGAAGAGGCCUGAUUAAUACAUAGACAAAGCCAAAUGACUUUUUUCCCUCUCUCAACUUUGAUAUUCUUUAAACAUUUCCAGCUAGUUCUUUUAAUAUUUCUUGAGUAUUUCCUGGGAUUUUUUUUGGUAAAUACUGUAUUUCCACCAGCUACUCCUUCAAGAACAUAUGUUGUCAUAUGUUUUAUUAUCCAUCAAGAUUAUCAGUGAACCCACAGUUCAUUUGUCAAAAUGACUCUAAAUUCGUGAUAUUCAGAUGAUCACACUCCAUAAUACUGUCACCAGAGCCAAGUUAUUGGAGUUAUUACUUUUUAUGAUCAGCACAAUUUUUUUUGUAUGAAAGAAUUGUUGGUAUUAAAACGGCCACAGUAGACUAUUUGCUAUUGAAUGAUUGUUGGUUAUUACUUAAUUAAAACAAAAAUGUUUUUUAUA